GGAUAUGAGGGUGAUCUGCUGUGACAUCUGUCACCCCAUUGAUGGCCAGGGUUCAUUCAGCUGAUCUGGCUGGCUGGGCAGGUGUCCCCUUCCUCCCUCAGUGCUCCAGCUGCAUCCUCCCGAAGAGGACGGCCUUCCCCAAAUACAGGAGGAGCGAUCUUUGGUCAAGGGUAGGCAAGUAGCGCACUCUCCUGCUGGAGCCUCCAAACAAGCUCUCAAAUAAUCAGGGGAGGAGGAAGAGGAGGAAGAAAACAUUCUUCUCUUGCCACAUGCCGCUCUAAAACCACCAGUGGAGGUGAAUGCGAUGCG
rnacentral:snRNA from 1 species